rfam:Loxodonta africana unplaced genomic scaffold scaffold_18, whole genome shotgun sequence.
GCUAUUGACGGUUCAGUGGCAGAAUUCUCACCUUCCAUGCAGGAGACCUGGGUUCAAUUCCCUGCAAAUGCA